rnacentral:rRNA from 1 species
ACGCUGGCGGCGUGCUUAACACAUGCAAGUCGAGCGGAAAGGCUCCUUCGGGGGUACUCGAGCGGCGAACGGGUGAGUAACACGUGAGUAGUCUGCCCUUGGCUUUGGGAUAACUACCGGAAACGGUGGCUAAUACCGGAUACGACCACUCCUUGCAUGAGGUGGUGGUGUAAAGUUUUUCGGCCAGGGAUGUGCUCGCGGCCUAUCAGCUUGUUGGUGGGGUAAUGGCCUACCAAGGCUUCGACGGUAGCCGGCCUGAGAGGGUGACCGGCCACACUGGGACUGAGACACGGCCCAGACUCCUACGGGAGGCAGCAGUGGGGAAUAUUGGACAAUGGGCGGAAGCCUGAUCCAGCAACGCCGCGUGAGGGAUGACGGCCUUCGGGUUGUAAACCUCUUUCAGUACCGACGAAGCGCCGAUGAUGGUGGUGACGGUAGGUACAGAAGAAGCACCGGCCAACUACGUG